UACGUAGGGUGCAAGCGUUGUCCGGAAUUAUUGGGCGUAAAGAGCUCGUAGGCGGUUUGUUGCGUCGGCUGUGAAAUCCCGAGGCUCAACCUCGGGUCUGCAGUCGAUACGAGCAAACUAGAGUGUUGCAGGGGAGACUGGAAUUCCUGGUGUAGCGGUGAAAUGCGCAGAUAUCAGGAAGAACACCCGUGGCGAAGGCGGCUCUCUGGGACGGUACUGACGCUGAGACGCGAAAGCGUGGGGAGCAAACAGG
rnacentral:rRNA from 1 species